rnacentral:rRNA from 1 species
UCAGACGAUGCGUCAUGCAUAUCAAUAAGCGGAGGAAAAGAAACUAACAAGGAUUCCCCUAGUAACGGCGAGUGAAGCGGGAAGAGCUCAAAUUUGAAAUCUUAAAGGGUUUCCCUUUACGAAUUGUAGUUUAAAGAAGUGUUUUCUGUUGAGGUUUUGGUAAAAAGUUCUUUGGAAUAGGACAUCAUAGAGGGUGAGAAUCCCGUAUUUGACCUUUACUUUCAACUUUGUGAUACACUUUCAAAGAGUCGGAUUGUUUGGGAAUGCAGUCCAAAAUGGGUGGUAAAUUUCAUCUAAAGCUAAAUAUUGGCGAGAGACCGAUAGCGAACAAGUACCGUGAGGGAAAGAUGAAAAGAACUUUGAAAAGAGAGUUAAACAGUACGUGAAAUUGUCAAAAGGGAAGCGUUUGACACCAGUGUUGUUUUUCUGAAAAUCAAUUAAAGAACUGUUUAUGCUAAGUUGUUUAGACUUUAUCCAGCUAUCUGUUUAGUUUUGAGCUUUUCUUUAAUGCACUUUUCAGUUAACAAGUCAACAUCAAUUUCUUUUGCUGUAAAAAAAGCUUGAGGAAGGUGGCUUGAGAUUCGUCUUAAGUGUUUAUAGCCUCUUGCCUAUGCAGUCGGAGAGAUUGAGGUCUGCAGCGUAGAUCCUUCGGGGCUAAAUGCUAUUUGUGCUAAGUUAUAGCAUUUUAUAGACAACUUGUUGACUAUGAUUUGUCUUGUAGCUUACUCGCUUAUGUUAUUUUACCUACGCUUAGGAUGUUGACACACGCGCGUGCUCG